CCCGCACAAGCGGAGGAGCAUGUGGUUUUAAUUCGAUGAUACGCGAGGAACCUUACCUAGGCUCGAACGUAAGAUGACUGUAGGUGAAAGCUUACAUCUCUUCGGAGCAUUUUACGAGGUGCUGCAUGGUUGUCGUCAGCUCGUGCCGUGAGGUGUCGGGUUAAGUCCCAUAACGAGCGCAACCCCUACCUUUAGUUGCCAUCAGGUUAAGCUGGGGACUCUAAAGGAACUGCCUACGCAAGUAGUGAGGAAGGCGGGGAUGACGUCAAAUCAGCACGGCCCUUACGUCCAGGGCUACACACGUGCUACAAUGGUCGGUACAAAGGGUUGCCAAGCCGCGAGGUGGAGCUAAUCCCAUAAAACCGAUCGUAGUCCGGAUCGCAGUCUGCAACUCGACUGCGUGAAGUCGGAAUCGCUAGUAAUCGUGAAUCAGAAUGUCACGGUGAAUACGUUCCCGGGCCUU
rnacentral:rRNA from 1 species